UACGUAGGUGACAAGCGUUGUCCGGAUUUACUGGGCGUAAAGAGCGCGCAGGCGGUCGAUCAAGUCGAGUGUGAAAGCCCCCGGCUCAACUGGGGAGGGUCAUUCGAUACUGAUCGACUCGAAGGCAGGAGAGGGUAGUGGAAUUCCCGGUGUAGUGGUGAAAUGCGUAGAUAUCGGGAGGAACACCAGUGGCGAAGGCGACUACCUGGCCUGUUCUUGACGCUGUGGCGCGAAAGCUAGGGGAGCAAACGGG
rnacentral:rRNA from 1 species